AAUCAACGCUGGCGGCGUGCCUAACACAUGCAAGUCGAACGCGAAAGCCCCUUCGGGGGCGAAGUAGAGUGGCGUCCGGGUGAGUAACACGUGGGUAAUCUACCUCCGGGUGGGGAAUAAACUCGCCGAAAGGUGGGCUAAUACCGCAUAAUGCAGCGGCACCGAAUGGUGAUUAGUUGUUAAAGCGGGGGACCGUUAGGGCCUCGCGUCUGGAGAGGAGCCUGCGGCAGAUUAGCUUGUUGGUAGGGAAUGGCCUACCAAGGCUGCGAUCUGUAGCUGGUCUGAGAGGACGGCCAGCCACACUGGCACUGACACACGGGCCGAGACUCCUACGGGAGGCAGCAGUGGGGAAUCUUGCGCAAUGGGCGAAAGCCUGACGCAGCGACGCCGCGUGAGGGAUGACGGCC
rnacentral:rRNA from 1 species